rnacentral:rRNA from 1 species
GACGAACGCUGGCGGCGUGCUUAACACAUGCAAGUCGAACGGAAAGGCCCUGCUUUUGUGGGGUGCUCGAGCGGCGAACGGGUGAGUAACACGUGAGUAACCUGCCCUUGACUUUGGGAUAACUUCGGGAAACUGGGGCUAAUACCGGAUAGGAGCUCCUGCUGCAUGGUGGGGGUUGGAAAGUUUCGGCGGUUGGGGAUGGACUCGCGGCUUAUCAGCUUGUUGGUGGGGUAGUGGCUUACCAAGGCUUUGACGGGUAGCCGGCCUGAGAGGGUGACCGGCCACAUUGGGACUGAGAUACGGCCCAGACUCCUACGGGAGGCAGCAGUGGGGAAUAUUGCACAAUGGGCGGAAGCCUGAUGCAGCAACGCCGCGUGCGGGAUGACGGCCUUCGGGUUGUAAACCGCUUUCGCCUGUGACGAAGCGUGAGUGACGGUAAUGGGUAAAGAAGCACCGGCUAACUACGUG